GACAAGCAAACCUUCCAUCGGGUUAAAAGUGAAAGCUGCCAAAAACUGGCGGAAUGCUCUCGAAACCAAUUCACUUGAGUGAGACAGAGGAGAGUGGAAUUUCGUGUGUAGGGGUGAAAUCCGGAGAUCUACGAAGGAACGCCAAAAACAAAGCCAACUCUCUGGGUCCCUACCAACGCUGAGGUGCGAAAGCAUGGGGAGCGAACAGGAUUAGAUACUCUGGUGGUCCUUUACCUUU
rnacentral:ncRNA from 1 species